CAUGCCGUCGUCCAAGAGCGAGAGCGAGUUCUGGAUCGAUGGAUCCCACCGGGAGGCGGCACUGGAAGAUUUCUACAUCGUGGGCCCCGAGUUGGGACGGGGAGCCACCUCGGUGGUGUUCAGCUGCCAGGAGAAAAGCACAGGAGCUCCCUACGCUGCCAAGAUCCUGAAGAAAACGAUCGACAAAAAGAUCGUGAGGACGGAGAUCGGGGUCCUGCUGCGGCUCUCGCACCCCAACAUCAAGGAUCUUGGAGAACACCUGAGUUCAGGAAAUGACAAGAAAAAGCUGCUGUGGGGCUGAGGGUUGGGACAGGCCCUGCUCCUGUUGGGAUUGUGAUCGGGACAUCGCUGGGACAUCUCUGGGACGUCUCUGGGACAUCUCUGGGACAUCUCUGGGACAUCGCUGGGACAUUGUCUUGCCGCUGCAGCAUCCCUCACAGCCUGGGCACGGCUGCUCCCAGCCCAUCCUCGGAGUUUUGCUCUCUGGAGAAGCCCAAAACCU